rnacentral:ribozyme from 15 species
CGGCAUGUGGGCUGCCCAGCGGAAUGCGUGCAGGUACAGAAGCUGGGU